AGCGAACGCUGGCGGCAGGCUUAACACAUGCAAGUCGAACGGGCGUAGCAAUACGUCAGUGGCAGACGGGUGAGUAACGCGUGGGAACGUACCUUUUGGUCCGGAACAACCCAGGGAAACUUGGGCUAAUACCGGAUAAGCCCUUACGGGGAAAGAUUUAUCGCCGAAAGAUCGGCCCGCGUCUGAUUAGCUAGUUGGUGUGGUAACGGCGCACCAAGGCGACGAUCAGUAGCUGGUCUGAGAGGAUGAUCAGCCACAUUGGGACUGAGACACGGCCCAAACUCCUACGGGAGGCAGCAGUGGGGAAUAUUGGACAAUGGGCGCAAGCCUGAUCCAGCCAUGCCGCGUGAGUGAUGAAGGCCCUAGGGUUGUAAAGCUCUUUUGUGCGGGAAGAUAAUGACGGUACCGCAAGAAUAAGCCCCGGCUAACUUCGUGCCAGCCGCCGCGGUAAU
rnacentral:rRNA from 1 species